UACGUAGGUGGCAAGCGUUGUCCGGAUUUAUUGGGUUUAAAGGGUGCGUAGGCAGCUUUGUAAGUCAGUGGUGAAAUAUGGCAGCUCAACUGUCAAGGUGCCAUUGAUACUGCGGAGCUUGAGUACAGAUGAGGUAGGCGGAAUUGACGGUGUAGCGGUGAAAUGCUUAGAUAUCGUCAAGAACACCUAUAGCGAAGGCAGCUUACUAGGCUGUAACUGACGCUGAGGCACGAAAGUGUGGGGAUCAAACAGG
rnacentral:rRNA from 1 species